rnacentral:rRNA from 1 species
CCUGUUUAACAAAAACAUGUCUUUUUGAGUUAUUUUUAAAGUCUGACCUGCCCACUGAAGUUAUUUAAAUGGCCGCAGUAUUCUAACUGUGCAAAGGUAGCAUAAUCAUUAGUCUUUUAAUUGAAGGCUGGUAUGAACGGUUGGACGAGGUAUAAUCUGUUUCAUAUAAAUUUAUAAUAGAAUUUUAUAUUUUAGUUAAAAAGCUAAAAUAUAAUUAAAAGACGAGAAGACCCUAUAAAUCUUUAUACUUUACGUUAUUUAAAUUUUUUAGAUUGUUUUUAUUUUUAUAGUUUUAAGUAUUUUGUUGGGGUGAUAUUAAAAUUUAAUGAACUUUUAAUUAUUUAAAAUCAUUAAUUUAUGAUUUAUUGAUCCAUUAAUAGUGAUUAUAAGAUUAAGUUACUUUAGGGAUAACAGCGUAAUUUUUUUGGAGAGUUCAUAUCGAUAAAAAAGUUUGCGACCUCGAUGUUGGAUUAAGAUAUAUUUUUAGGUGUAGCCGCUUAAAU